GCCUAAUACAUGCAAGUCGAGCGGACAGAAGGGAGCUUGCUCCCGGAUGUUAGCGGCGGACGGGUGAGUAACACGUGGGUAACCUGCCUGUAAGACUGGGAUAACUCCGGGAAACCGGAGCUAAUACCGGAUAGUUCCUUGAACCGCAUGGUUCAAGGAUGAAAGACGGUUUCGGCUGUCACUUACAGAUGGACCCGCGGCGCAUUAGCUAGUUGGUGGGGUAAUGGCUCACCAAGGCGACGAUGCGUAGCCGACCUGAGAGGGUGAUCGGCCACACUGGGACUGAGACACGGCCCAGACUCCUACGGGAGGCAGCAGUAGGGAAUCUUCCGCAAUGGACGAAAGUCUGACGGAGCAACGCCGCGUGAGUGAUGAAGGUUUUCGGAUCGUAAAGCUCUGUUGUUAGGGAAGAACAAGUGCGAGAGUAACUGCUCGCACCUUGACGGUACCUAACCAGAAAGCCACGGCUAACUACGUGCCAGCAGCCGCGGUAAUACGUAGGUGGCAAGCGUUGUCCGGAAUUAUUGGGCGUAAAGGGCUCGCAGGCGGUUUCUUAAGUCUGAUGUGAAAGCCCCCGGCUCAACCGGGGAGGGUCAUUGGAAACUGGGAAACUUGAGUGCAGAAGAGGAGAGUGGAAUUCCACGUGUAGCGGUGAAUGCGUAGAGAUGUGGAGGAACACCAGUGGCGAAGGCGACUCUCUGGUCUGUAACUGACGCUGAGGAGCGAAAGCGUGGGGAGCGAACAGGAUUAGAUACCCUGGUAGUCCACGCCGUAAACGAUGAGUGCUAAGUGUUAGGGGGUUUCCGCCCCUUAGUGCUGCAGCUAACGCAUUAAGCACUCCGCCUGGGGGAGUACGGUCGCAGACUGAAACUCAAAGGAAUUGACGGGGGCCCGCACAAGCGGUGGAGCAUGUGNUUAAUUCGAAGCAACGCGAAGAACC
rnacentral:rRNA from 1 species